rnacentral:tRNA from 1 species
GGAGUUGUGGCUCAGUGGUAGAGCACUUGCCUGGCAUGUAUGAGGCCCUGGGUUGGAUCCUCAGCACUGCA